UCCUAACUACAUCAUUGCCUAUAGUCAGCAA
rnacentral:piRNA from 1 species